rnacentral:misc_RNA from 1 species
UACUCCUAACUGCACUGGUAACCUGGGUGUAUUGCAAUUCAUCAACUAUUUAAAUGAAUCCUGCUAGAUCAUGCAGCUUAAUCAUCAAUAACUAACAAUAUCUGGAAAUGACAUAAACUAUCUGCACCUUCAAUGCGUUAAGAGUGGCUAGAUUGCAAGAUAAACUUAAAGAAAUCUUUGAAGAAGUUGCUUGGCAUCUCCCUCUGCACAUGUUGAUUUAUACAGAGAAGAGACGAGCCAGAAGGAUGACUCUUCAAUUUCAAAAUCAUAUCACAUGGGAAAGAUCCUUGGUUGAAAGGUUGGAAAAAAAUUUCACACCAUGCUUUCUAAUCAGUACAAAUGGUGAACCUACCUAGAGUACGGCGGUGAAGAGAUAGCAAUAGUUGAACAGAAAGCUUGUUCAGUAAACAAGCAAUUAUUGAUGGCUUGGGUCAAGUAGACAAGCAAAAGUAUUUGAAGUUUGAACAGGUUAAUUUAGGUUGAAUUUUCACCCCUAUCAGCAGUAAGUUUCCCAUUUUAUUGAAUCACAGUUAAAAUUGAAAAAGUUACCUUCCAGUGCCAGGCAAUAAGA